rnacentral:rRNA from 1 species
GGGUUGUGAGGUUAAGCGACUAAGCGUACACGGUGGAUGCCCUGGCAGUCAGAGGCGAUGAAGGACGUGCUAAUCUGCGAAAAGCGUCGGUAAGGUGAUAUGAACCGUUAUAACCGGCGAUGUCCGAAUGGGGAAACCCAGUGCAAUUCGUUGCACUAUCGUUAACUGAAUACAUAGGUUAACGAGGCGAACCGGGGGAACUGAAACAUCUAAGUACCCCGAGGAAAAGAAAUCAACCGAGAUUCCCCCAGUAGCGGCGAGCGAACGGGGAGCAGCCCAGAGUCUGAAUCAGCUUGUGUGUUAGUGGAACGGUCUGGAAAGUCCGACGGUACAGGGUGAUAGUCCCGUACACCAAAAUGCACAGGCUGUGAACUCGAAGAGUAGGGCGGGACACGUGGUAUCCUGUCUGAAUAUGGGGGGACCAUCCUCCAAGGCUAAAUACUCCUGACUGACCGAUAGUGAACCAGUACCGUGAGGGAAAGGCGAAAAGAACCCCGGCGAGGGGAGUGAAAAAGAACCUGAAACCGUGUACGUACAAGCAGUGGGAGCACCUUCGGGUGUGACUGCGUACCUUUUGUAUAAUGGGUCAGCGACUUAUAUUCUGUAGCAAGGUUAACCGUAUAGGGGAGCCGCAGGGAAACCGAGUCUUAACUGGGCGUUAAGUUGCAGGGUAUAGACCCGAAACCCGGUGAUCUAGCCAUGGGCAGGUUGAAGGUUGGGUAACACUAACUGGAGGACCGAACCGACUAAUGUUGAAAAAUUAGCGGAUGACUUGUGGCUGGGGGUGAAAGGCCAAUCAAACCGGGAGAUAGCUGGUUCUCCCCGAAAGCUAUUUAGGUAGCGCCUCGUGAACUCAUCUUCGGGGGUAGAGCACUGUUUCGGCUAGGGGGUCAUCCCGACUUACCAACCCGAUGCAAACUACGAAUACCGAAGAAUGUUAUCACGGGAGACACACGGCGGGUGCUAACGUCCGUCGUGAAGAGGGAAACAACCCAGACCGCCAGCUAAGGUCCCAAAGUCAUGGUUAAGUGGGAAACGAUGUGGGAAGGCACAGACAGCCAGGAUGUUGGCUUAGAAGCAGCCAUCAUUUAAAGAAAGCGUAAUAGCUCACUGGUCGAGUCGGCCUGCGCGGAAGAUGUAACGGGGCUAAACCAUGCACCGAAGCUGCGGCAGCGACACUAUGUGUUGUUGGGUAGGGGAGCGUUCUGUAAGCCUGCGAAGGUGUGCUGUGAGGCAUGCUGGAGGUAUCAGAAGUGCGAAUGCUGACAUAAGUAACGAUAAAGCGGGUGAAAAGCCCGCUCGCCGGAAGACCAAGGGUUCCUGUCCAACGUUAAUCGGGGCAGGGUGAGUCGACCCCUAAGGCGAGGCCGAAAGGCGUAGUCGAUGGGAAACAGGUUAAUAUUCCUGUACUUGGUGUUACUGCGAAGGGGGGACGGAGAAGGCUAUGUUAGCCGGGCGACGGUUGUCCCGGUUUAAGCAUGUAGGCUGGUUGUCCAGGCAAAUCCGGAUAAUCAAGGCUGAGGUGUGAUGACGAGGUACUACGGUGCUGAAGUAACAAAUGCCCUGCUUCCAGGAAAAGCCUCUAAGCAUCAGGUAACAUCAAAUCGUACCCCAAACCGACACAGGUGGUCAGGUAGAGAAUACCAAGGCGCUUGAGAGAACUCGGGUGAAGGAACUAGGCAAAAUGGUGCCGUAACUUCGGGAGAAGGCACGCUGGUGUGUAGGUGAAGUCCCUGCGGAUGGAGCUGAGACCAGUCGAAGAUACCAGCUGGCUGCAACUGUUUAUUAAAAACACAGCACUGUGCAAACACGAAAGUGGACGUAUACGGUGUGACGCCUGCCCGGUGCCGGAAGGUUAAUUGAUGGGGUUAUCCGUAAGGAGAAGCUCUUGAUCGAAGCCCCGGUAAACGGCGGCCGUAACUAUAACGGUCCUAAGGUAGCGAAAUUCCUUGUCGGGUAAGUUCCGACCUGCACGAAUGGCGUAAUGAUGGCCAGGCUGUCUCCACCCGAGACUCAGUGAAAUUGAACUCGCUGUGAAGAUGCAGUGUACCCGCGGCAAGACGGAAAGACCCCGUGAACCUUUACUAUAGCUUGACACUGAACAUUGAGCCUUGAUGUGUAGGAUAGGUGGGAGGCUUUGAAGCGUGGACGCCAGUCUGCGUGGAGCCAACCUUGAAAUACCACCCUUUAAUGUUUGAUGUUCUAACGUUGGCCCCUUACCGGGGUUGCGGACAGUGUCUGGUGGGUAGUUUGACUGGGGCGGUCUCCUCCCAAAGCGUAACGGAGGAGCACGAAGGUUAGCUAAUCCUGGUCGGACAUCAGGAGGUUAGUGCAAUGGCAUAAGCUAGCUUGACUGCGAGCGUGACGGCGCGAGCAGGUGCGAAAGCAGGUCAUAGUGAUCCGGUGGUUCUGAAUGGAAGGGCCAUCGCUCAACGGAUAAAAGGUACUCCGGGGAUAACAGGCUGAUACCGCCCAAGAGUUCAUAUCGACGGCGGUGUUUGGCACCUCGAUGUCGGCUCAUCACAUCCUGGGGCUGAAGUAGGUCCCAAGGGUAUGGCUGUUCGCCAUUUAAAGUGGUACGCGAGCUGGGUUUAGAACGUCGUGAGACAGUUCGGUCCCUAUCUGCCGUGGGCGCUGGAGAAUUGAGGGGGGCUGCUCCUAGUACGAGAGGACCGGAGUGGACGCAUCACUGGUGUUCGGGUUGUCAUGCCAAUGGCACUGCCCGGUAGCUAAAUGCGGAAGAGAUAAGUGCUGAAAGCAUCUAAGCACGAAACUUGCCCCGAGAUGAGUUCUCCCUGAGACUUUAAGUCUCCUGAAGGAACGUUGAAGACGACGACGUUGAUAGGCCGGGUGUGUAAGCGCAGCGAUGCGUUGAGCUAACCGGUACUAAUGAACCGUGAGGCUUAACCUUACAACGCCGAAG